ACUUGUUGCAUAAGCAUACUAUUUUGAUAAAGAAAUGACCAUGAUGAUAGUUAUCGUUUUAUCAUUGCAAGUACAUAUUUUGUAACUUUCCAUUUAUACGUAAUUCUACUCGGUACAGUUGGUAAUGUAAGCUAUUAUACGUUAGUGUAUGUCAUCUGAUGUUUACUAAAAUUUCUUUGUCUACAACUGUUAAAGUGUUACUUUCUCUACCCACAUUAAGAAAUAUACGAAGUUAUUCUGUUAUAAUGAGUAAAUUUGAUCUUCCUGAUCGCUUUAAAGGCAAUGAUAAAUCAAUAUGGGUGGAAUAUAUUCAGUUAGAUUCAAAAUAUAAGCCCUUAAAUUUAGGACAAGGAUUUCCAGAUUUUUAUGCUCCAGAAAAUAUAACUAAAGCUUUGGCUGCUGCAACUGCAAGUGACAAUCCUCUAUUGAAUCAAUAUACCAGAGGAUUUGGUCACCCACGUUUAGUAAAUGCUAUUGCAAAAUUGUAUUCGAAGCUCUUAAACCGUACUUUAGAUCCAAAUAAGGAAGUUCUUGUAACUUCUGGUGCUUAUGAAGCAUUAUAUGCUACGUUCCAAGGUCACACAAACCCUGGUGAUGAGUGGAUAAUUAUUGAACCUUUCUUUGAUUGUUAUGUACCUAUGGUUAGAUCUGCUGGAGGAAUUCCAAGAUUUAUUGCCUUAAAACCAAAAAGCACAAAGGGAUCUCUUUCUUCUGCAGAUUGGAUAUUUGACAGACAAGAAUUAGAGAAUCUUUUUAAUGAAAAAACAAAAGGAAUAAUCGUUAACACUCCACAUAAUCCUGUGGGAAAGGUUUUUACUCUAGAUGAAUUACAGUUUAUUGCUAAUUUGGCUAAAAAGUGGAACACCCUUGUUGUGUCAGAUGAAGUAUAUGAAUGGCUUGUUUAUGAGCCAUAUAAACAUGUUAGAAUUGCAACAUUACCUGAUAUGUACGAACGUACGAUUACCAUUGGAUCUGCUGGUAAAACAUUCAGUGUUACUGGAUGGAAAAUAGGAUGGGCCUAUGGUCCGGAAAAUUUGCUAUAUAACUUAGAAGUUAUUCAUCAAAAUAGUGUAUAUACGUGUAACACACCAACUCAAGAGGCUGUGGCUAUUGGAUUCGAACAAGAAUUAGAAAGAUUUGGUCAAACUGACUGUUAUUUUGUGAGUUUAGCUAAGGAGUUGCUACCAAAACGAAAUUAUAUGGCUAAAUUUCUUAGCGAUGUAGGAAUGAUUCCAACAAUUCCCCAAGGAGGAUACUUUAUGGUAGCUAAUUGGUCAGCUUUAAAAGAUAAAGUACGGUUAGAAGAAGAAACAGAUGAGAAUAGAGAUUAUCGUUUCACAAAAUGGAUGACGAAAAAUGUUGGAAUUCAAGGAAUUCCCCCAUCUGUAUUUUAUAGUCCUGAACAUAAACACUUAGGGGAAGAUAACGUAAGAUAUUGCUUCAUAAAGAAAGAUGAAAAUUUGAAAAAAGCAGCUGAUAUUUUAAUGAAAUGGAAAGAUCAGCAAUAGUAACAACUAUAUUUAUCUGUAGUUAAUAAGAGAUAAAAAAUCUAGCAUUUCUGUAGAAAAUUGUCCAAUUACUUAAAUAUCAGGUAUUAUCUUUAAAAGUUAUUUUAAAUUAUAUUAAAUUUUGCUAUGAUACGCAAUGGAGAAAUCACCACGGAGCCAUCUUUUCGCAUCUUUAGUGUCAGCUCCAAAAGUUUUGCCGAAUCUAAAUGAAAUAUUUAAUAUCUAAAUAAAAUUUUUUAAGAACAUGUCCAAGAUAAUUUGGAAGCAUACCAACAUGUUUGUGGUAAAUAGUAGUAGGUUGAAUUAAUAGAGGUGGAUCAGGUCGUGAAAUUGUUACUGGUGCCCAUUCUGUACUUUGUCGUUUUCGAUAAUCAGAUGUAAAAUCGCAAAGGGCGCUAUUAGUAGCUGGAAUGUUUGUUUUUCCAAAAUGCGCAUAUCCGUAUGGUAUAUGACCCCCGUAUCCUGCAAAAAUACAAUUAAAUGUUUGAAAUUUUAUAUUAUAAGGAAAACUAAUUAAUAUUUAUCUUUCUAACUUUAACUCUCACUUCUUGCAUUUUCUCGAAUGAAAGAAUAUCGCAUUCGUUUUUCACUAUCCGUAAGAUCCAUCUGUACUACUAUUUAUUGUUAAUAUUAUUUUACAAAUGAUAUCGCGUAUUUAUCUGUUCGUUAAUUCAUUUUAUUAACAGGUCGAAUUUAUGGAAGUCAUUAAAGGUUAAAGAUUUCGUGAAACAGUUGAAUCAUACGGAACGAUGCUUAUGUAAGUUUUAUACUACAUAUAGAAUCAUUCGAAGACAAGUUCAAGAUAAUAAUAACGUGACAACAUGGACUCACGACUGAUAAAGUAUUUUUGCGGAUUUGCAUUGUCCAUAAAGUAAGGGGAUGGAGAGUGAUCGCUGGGUGUUUCGUGUUGUUCGUCCAAAAAUAAAUUCCUCGUUACACCCACGCAAUCAGGUCGAACUGUUAGCAUAGGCAGUUUAAACUCACUUUUUAUGAGCUAUAUAAGAAAUUUAGAUAUGAUUUCAUUAUUCCUAUCCUUCCCUUAUUUCCUUAUUUCCUUAUUCCCUUAUUUUAACUAAAAAACAGAUCGUAUAGAUACUUUACCAAACGAUCUUCUAAAUUUCUUGGUUCACCCUGUCCAGCUUGUAUAUCUAUAAUUCGUUUAAGUUCAUUAAGAGCCGCUCUGUUUCUUAAUUGUUGUCGUUCAAAUUCGGCAAGUCCUUCUGUAGCCAACACCGUGUAUCUUUGUCCAUUUCUGGCUUUUAGUUUUGGAGUAAAUCCUAAAAUAAAACAUUUACAUUGUCAUUAAA